rnacentral:lncRNA from 1 species
UUUUGUCCCCUUCUUCUUCAUCUCAUUCUUUUCCCUUUGAUCAAUUGGAUGGUUUGUAUCCAUCUUGUUCAUGAUGUGUGGAUUGGUGCUUGGUGAACUUUCAUCAUUUCAAAUCUACCCCCUAAUUGAUCAUGGAUCAUUUAAGGUACUUUGGAUUGCUGCAUAAGCUUGUCCCAAGCUUCAUGAAGUAUGGUUUGAAGUAAUGGACCAUCCUUAUAGCCUUUGUGCUUG